AGUGAACGCUGGCGGUAGGCCUAACACAUGCAAGUCGAACGGCAGCACAGUAAGAGCUUGCUCUUACGGGUGGCGAGUGGCGGACGGGUGAGGAAUACAUCGGAAUCUACUUUUUCGUGGGGGAUAACGUAGGGAAACUUACGCUAAUACCGCAUACGACCUACGGGUGAAAGCAGGGGAUCUUCGGACCUUGCGCGAUUGAAUGAGCCGAUGUCGGAUUAGCUAGUUGGCGGGGUAAAGGCCCACCAAGGCGACGAUCCGUAGCUGGUCUGAGAGGAUGAUCAGCCACACUGGAACUGAGACGCGGUCCAGACUCCUACGGGAGGCAGCAGUGGGGAAUAUUGGACAGGGGGCGCAAGCCUGAUCCAGCCAUACCGCGUGGGUGAAGAAGGCCUUCGGGUUGUAAAGCCCUUUUGUUGGGAAAGAAAAGCAGCAGGUUAAUACCCCGCUGUUCUGACGGUACCCAAAGAAUAAGCACCGGCUAACUUCGU
rnacentral:rRNA from 1 species